CAGUAGGGAAUCUUCCGCAAUGGGCGAAAGCCUGACGGAGCAACGCCGCGUGAGUGAUGAAGGUCUUCGGAUCGUAAAACUCUGUUAUUAGGGAAGAACAUAUGUGUAAGUAACUGUGCACAUCUUGACGGUACCUAAUCAGAAAGCCACGGCUAACUACGUGCCAGCAGCCGCGGUAAUACGUAGGUGGCAAGCGUUAUCCGGAAUUAUUGGGCGUAAAGCGCGCGUAGGCGGUUUUUUAAGUCUGAUGUGAAAGCCCACGGCUCAACCGUGGAGGGUCAUUGGAAACUGGAAAACUUGAGUGCGGAAGAGGAAAGUGGAAUUCCAUGUGUAGCGGUGAAAUGCGCAGAGAUAUGGAGGAACACCAGUGGCGAAGGCGACUUUCUGGUCUGUAACUGACGCUGAUGUGCGAAAGCGUGGGGAUCAAACAGGAUUAGAUACCCUGGUAGUCCACGCCGUAAACGAUGAGUGCUAAGUGUUAGGGGGUUUCCGCCCCUUAGUGCUGCAGCUAACGCAUUAAGCACUCCGCCUGGGGAGUACGACCGCAAGGUUGAAACUCAAAUGAAUUGACGGGGGCCCGCACAAGCGGUGGAGCAUGUGGUUUAAUUCGAAGCAACGCGAAGAACCUUA
rnacentral:rRNA from 1 species